CCCUUAGAUGUCCUGGGCCGCACGCGCGUUACACUGAUGCAUUCAACGAGCUUAUAACCUUGGCCGAGAGGCCUGGGCAAUCUUGUUAACGUGCAUCGUGAUAGGGAUAGAUUAUUGAAAUUAUUAAUCUUGAACGAGGAAUUCCUAGUAAACGCAGAUCAUCAAUCUGCAUUGAUUACGUCCCUGCCCUUUGUACACACCGCCCGUCGCACCUACCGAUUGGAUGGUCCGGUGAAGCCUCGGGAUUGUGGUUCUUGCCGCUUUAUUGUGGCGUGACCGCGAGAACUUGUCUAAACCUAUCAUCUAGAGGAAGGUGAAGUCGUAACA
rnacentral:rRNA from 1 species